UUGCUACUCCUUCCGUCCCAAAAUUUUUGUCUUAGAUUUGUCUAGAUACGGAAAUCUAAGACAAGAAUUUUGGGACGGAGGGAGUAUUUU
rnacentral:pre_miRNA from 1 species